AGGUUAUGGACCUUUCCCCUUUCUUCAUUGUCAUCAGCUGAAAGUAUUUUACAACAAGUUUCCAGCGUUAAAGUCGAGAUAGAGAGCUUAGAUCCUCUUGUGCAACGUGCAGUAGCCUCUGCCUCAAGAGUUCCAGAUCUACAGCAUCUUUAUGAAAAGAUACCAAGCCAUAUUGAGCCAAAG